UGGUGCUGAUAUCGAAUCAAAAAACA
rnacentral:piRNA from 1 species